rnacentral:rRNA from 1 species
UGGGGAAUAUUGGACAAUGGGCGCAAGCCUGAUCCAGCCAUGCCGCGUGAGUGACGAAGGCCUUAGGGUUGUAAAGCUCUUUUGGCGGGGAAGAUAAUGACGGUACCCGCAGAAUAAGCUCCGGCUAACUUCGUGCCAGCAGCCGCGGUAAUACGAAGGGAGCUAGCGUUGUUCGGAAUCACUGGGCGUAAAGCGCACGUAGGUGGAUAGUUAAGUGAGGGGUGAAAGCCCGAGGCUCAACCUCGGAAUUGCCUCUCAUACUGGCUGUCUCGAGUCCGAGAGAGGUGGGUGGAAUUCCUAGUGUAGAGGUGAAAUUCGUAGAUAUUCGUAAGAACACCAGUGGCGAAGGCGACUUUCUGGCUCGAUACUGACGCUAAGGCGCGAAAGCGUGGGGAGCAAACAGGAUUAGAUACCCCCGUAGUCCCUGAGCGGGCUGGCAAGGCGCAU